rnacentral:snRNA from 1 species
GUGCUUGCUGCAGCAGUACAUAUACUAAAAUUGGAAUGAUACAGAGAAGAUUAGCAUGG